AUUGAACGCUGGCGGCAGGCCUAACACAUGCAAGUCGAGCGGUAGAGAGGUGCUUGCAUCUCUUGAGAGCGGCGGACGGGUGAGUAAUGCCUAGGAAUCUGCCUGGUGGUGGGGGAUAACGUUCGGAAACGGACGCUAAUACCGCAUACGUCCUACGGGAGAAAGCGGGGGAUCUUCGGACCUCGCGCCAUUAGAUGAGCCUAGGUCGGAUUAGCUAGUUGGUGAGGUAAUGGCUCACCAAGGCGACGAUCCGUAACUGGUCUGAGAGGAUGAUCAGUCACACUGGAACUGAGACACGGUCCAGACUCCUACGGGAGGCAGCAGUGGGGAAUAUUGGACAAAUGGGCGAAAGCCUGAUCCAGCCAUGCCGCGUGUGUGAAGAAGGUCUUCGGAUUGUAAAGCACUUUAAGUUGGGUAGGAAGGGUAGUAACCUAAUACGUUGCUACUUUGACGUUACCGACAGAAUAAGCACCGGCUAACUUCGUG
rnacentral:rRNA from 1 species